AAUUUGAAAAGUCGGAUUUUUGGUCAGCUCUCGGGUAGCCUUCAGCAGGCCGUGUACAGGUACAGGUUGAUGGCUGUACCGGUACGGGGCCGAUGGUGUACCGGUACACAGGCAGUUUUGAGCCAACCCGAGGCUCGGGUUUGGCGUUUUCGUGGGAGGUGUACCGGUACGCAGGCCUGUGUACCGGUACGCAGUGGUAGAUUUUGAGCAGUUUGAACUGCAGGGGGGUUUUUGCGAUUAUGGCCUUCUAU
rnacentral:lncRNA from 1 species